AGGAUGAAGCGCAGGAAGCGCAUAAAACGAAAAGGACUUAUCGGAUACUGCCAGGCUGGCGGGUCGAUCAGGGAUGUCAGGAUUCAGUCUGCAAGCCCCACUUCGGUGGGGUUUU
rnacentral:sRNA from 1 species